GAUGAACGCUGGCGGCGUGCCUAAUACAUGCAAGUCGAGCGAACAGACGAGGAGCUUGCUCCUCUGACGUUAGCGGCGGACGGUGAGUAACACGUGGAUAACCUACCUAUAAGACUGGGAUAACUUCGGGAAACCGGAGCUAAUACCGGAUAAUAUAUUGCACCGCAUGGUUCAAUAGUGAAAGACGGUUUUGCUGUCACUUAUAGAUGGAUCCGCGCCGCAUUAGCUAGUUGGUAAGGUAACGGCUUACCAAGGCAACGAUGCGUAGCCGACCUGAGAGGGUGAUCGGCCACACUGGAACUGAGACACGGUCCAGACUCCUACGGGAGGCAGCAGUAGGGAAUCUUCCGCAAUGGGCGAAAGCCUGACGGAGCAACGCCGCGUGAGUGAUGAAGGUCUUCGGAUCGUAAAACUCUGUUAUUAGGGAAGAACAAAUGUGUAAGUAACUAUGCACGUCUUGACGGUACCUAAUCAGAAAGCCACGGCUAACUACGUG
rnacentral:rRNA from 1 species